UAUUGCUAUGCGACAGGGAUCGGAUGACGGUGCUCCUUGAACGACGAACGACAAGUAAGUGUGAGUAAUUGCGAGAGGAAGUGCCGACAGAGAAAGACACCGUUUUUCAAGUACGUCCGCCACUGUUGAAUAAUUUGAACAAGGUCGACGAUUGUGUCGGACCUGAUCGACGGAGGACCCACGAUAUAUUAUACAUCAUCGAUGGGUUUCCUGCGUAGAUCCGGCGGCCGAACGUGCUAAUACGGAAAAAAGAAUUCGACGCGCGCGGUGAAAGUUACCUACACAGCUGAAAUUCCUACGGCCUUACAAUAGUUCUCCAACUUUUUUGUUUCGAAAGUUCGAGCAAUGCUCGUUAGGCCGCUAAAUACCUGUGUUUAGACUCUGCAGAAUUUCCCUUCGGAUAGAAAGCAAAUAAAUACGGAAUGAGAAAGAAAAUAAACCGGAAUAAUUGGGAACGAAGAUAGUAAUGGUUCGAAUCGUGUUGCGGCAAUUAAAAGUCUGCUUACUUAAGGUACAGUUUAAAUAACGAUUGUUGACGCCAGUACUGUAUACUAUAAAACACGCGUGAAUAAAGUAAAUUAGGUAAUGAUACCGAAAAUGGAAGGCUAAAGUUUAACAAAUUGAAGUUUAACAAUCGGAAGGAUAAAGUAAAUGGAGAAUUACAAAUUGCAUGUUUGAAUUGGAAAUCGAAACGAAGGUUGCUGUUCUCUGGAUGAAGCAAAAUUUUCGAAAACUUGGAAUCGGGUGUGUUAAGAACCUCGAAGACGGAGAAAUAAAAAUAUCUAACAGUAUGAGAAUCGGAUCGUCUGUAACGAAUAUCGGAGAUGAACUUUGUCUAUGAUCGAUGAAUCCCGAGAAGAAGAUCGAAAAGAAACAAAUCACAAUAUUAAAAAAUAUUAAAACGUGAUCGUAUGAAUAGAAAAUUAGAAGAACACUUGAAUUCGGUCUAGGAUCUGUGGAUCGCCAGAGAAAGAACGAAAUUGGAGUAACAAAAAUAUAAACGUUUAGAAAAUUGUAAUAUUUUGAAUUGAUGGGGAAGCAGAUGUGCUUGGUCUGGGGAUCGAUGGAUCACGGGAUCUCUGUAGCUCGCGUGCCUCGCGUGCUUUUGGCCGCCGGUACCUGCUCGCGGGAGGAACCGAUUCCGCCCCGAACCGAAUCGAAUUCGGUGCAAGCGUGUUGAGAGCGUGUGAUAGCACGUGCGUGGGUGGUGCCAGCGACCGAUCGAUUUAGCCUCGGCGAGAGGUAACUGCGCGAUUACGGCUCGUUUCAUAAUUGCUUCGUAACUGUAUAUUUAACGACACACGAUCGCACCGACCGACCGGCACCGAGAGAACAACAACGUACCCUUGGAAAACAACUACGUUCUCCAACGAGCCCCUAAUGCAUUCGAUAAUUUAUAUGAUAGGGGAAACGCUCGAGGAAAAGAAAAUUCCGGUGUCCGAGGUCGCGGAAACGCUCCUUGCCCCGGGAGCGUUUAGGGUUGCCUUCCGGGGCAACUGUUCGAACGACGUCAAGCGAACAAAUAGAUUCCACGGAUUCAAAUAUUAAAGGCAGGCCGAUGCUAUCAACUGUCUGAGUGAAAUAGGUGCGGGGAAUGUCAACAGUAUCGCUGGAUCCAUCUCCUGGAAUGAUGCUUGUUGUAACUUAUUAAUUAAACUGUGGAUCUUCACGCGAAGUUCCACUUUCAUAAGCUGCUUUAUACAAAAUUGCUUUCGUCUAUCGGAAGAUCGAUAGGCCUUGACCAUAGAUGUUUCAGCUUAUUAGUUGAUCGGAGUAAUUAUUGAAUGCCGUUCAGCUCUUCAAAUUAUGAUAAAAGCAUGAAGAAUGUUGAAGACCGUCAUGCUAAUUUUUUGGUCGGAGCCUAUCUACGUGUAAAGAACAUUAUGCAUGUAUAUCAGCUCGGAAAUCGGAUCAAUCUGGCGAACAAGAUUCUCGCUGAGCUAUUACUCAAAUUGAAUUAUGCUACCAUGAACAUGACAUCGUGUGCGAUUUUUUGGUGUUUCUUUGCAUUACGUAAACACCGAUAUAAAAAGACCUGCUAAAAUCCUAGACUAUUCACGCGUGUCUUUGAGGAUGAAAGUCACCUCAAGCUGCUCCGUCGACGUACUAUAAUGUCGGGACAGACGCGACAGAACGGAGACGAGAGAAUCGAUCAUCGGCACAGACGGUCUUCCAUAGCAACGACGACGGUGCGUCGUUGUAUGCAAGCGUAUGCUUAUUUCUUACAUAAUAGUUGGCACGGUUUACGCAUAUUUGCAAGCGGUAAGCGGAUUCUAUUCGGAGGCUGAUUAACUCAGGCGACUAUAAUGACCGUAUCUCAACAACCCCACUGUCUCAUCCGUUUAUGACAUGGAUUCCUAAACGCGGUUGCUAAGAGGAUCCGGAAAGCGUUAGAAUACCAGUUUCUAACUAUUCCGCUUCCUCAAUCUAAGAUCUUGGGAUUCUAAAAUUGCAAAAGUUAUAAUUAGAAGUUUCAAUGACAGAAAUAGGCUACAUAAGGGGAAUACUGAAGGGAAAAGUACUGAGAAUGGAGCCUGUAGGUCGUAAAAGUCUGCGGAAGUACGAUCAAAUCCUUUAACAGUUUACCUACCGGAAGUUUAUUAAUAACAAUCUCAAAGACUGUACUAUACCAAAAGGAAACUUCAUCUUCCUUUGAGUAACUAUACCGAGAGAAAUUAACAGCUUGUGUCACAAAGCCUAAUUUCUUGGUUUAGGUUUAAGAAGCUACGAAGCUACGUUUGAUCAUAAUGUUUUCUGUUAUAUAAAAGUGUUAUAAUAAUCCUGUUACAGCGGAUUACUUUAAAUUAGAGCUGCUCAAGAAAACAUACAUAUUUAGGAUUGGUUUAAAAUAAUUCUGCAGCUUUCAAUAUUGAUUGAAUGAAUCUCUACCAAGAGAUUACAAUAGGUAGCUGCUCCAUUAGCAAGGAUAGGAAGAUCAACGUGUCCUGAAGAACUACUUGAAAACUUAUGUUCGUGCAUGAAUCUGUGGCAUGAAUCGAAAUCACUUACCAAUCUGGAAAGAGUUCAACAGCCUCUGCUAAAAUAUCUCUGAGGAGCGUGGUUGCUGGUGGAACAUGAGGCAAGAUCACGGGUGCGAAUACGCCGCAAACGCCCGCGCUGCGGCCAUGUUUGGCUUCGUACUUGCUCAGGUAAAUUGCCAGGUAGCCGAGCAAUCGGUAGUGCGAGGACGGCAGUGUCGAGAGAAGUUCCUUGGUCGAUUUAAUCCAGCAAUCCCGGUCGUUCUCGAUAUUCUCUGCAAUCAUAGGGAUCGGAGUUUUAUUAAGAACUUCAAGAAAUGAAACCCUAUAGUGGCACACUGCAUCCCAAAGCAGUAGCAAAAGCAAAUCAAUCUUUUAUACUCAUUAUUGACGAUGAACUACAGUUACUCCCUUGCACAUUGUAGCCGAGUUAAAAUCCAUUCAUAGAUAUUAAUGACGUGACCUGAAAGUGACCAUUGAUCCUCAAAGUUACAAAAUACAUUUUUCAACAUCGCAACUAGAUAAGAAAUAUCCAAAUGGAUACUACUUUUAGGUAGGACAUCUAUGGCUGGGUAUAGUCUAAAACUCUAUCUAACUGAAACUAGGGAUACUUUAUCUAAGUUCACAUCUGACAGUAAAACAUAUAUAGAGUAUUUUAUCCAAAAUCUGCUAUCUGGUGUAUAUCAAGGAAACAGUGUGCCUUCGCAGAGAGGAAUGAAGAACCAAGGGCAAACAGGCUUACGAGUAUGAACGACGAUUAGUCUGGCGACAAGUGUGGAUGGCACAACGGGUUGAGGUAGCUCCUUGAGGUAUUGUCGAAGAAGCGUGGCCGCGGUCGGAGGACAGGCAGCGGUCUCCAAGUCCGCGUCUCCUCUCCUCUCGAACGCAGCCCUCAGCCUUUCGGCCAGCCUUGGACUGCCGCCGGACAGACGGAAAACGGCAGCGCUUUGGAAUCCAUGCGCCUCGAUGUAGCUGCACAGCCGGUGCACCACGAACGGCACACCUGUGUCCAGGUACGACUCCACCGAGUCUAGCCGAGCGCCGAACACCUUCGUCGAUCCACCGUUGCGACCUAGCAGCGAGACUGCCAGUACCCGUUUCACUUUCGCCAAACGGGACUCGUCCUUAAAAAUUACAAUCCAUUUGUACACAUAGACACUGCAAGAUUGGACGAACAACAAAGUAUCCUCCUCUUUCUUCGGGGUUUUAGGCAAACUGGCGUGUGGAAUUUUAAUGUUAUCAAAAUGUAAAACUGCUCUAUUCUGGGAAUAAAUUCUCUAGAAAGUCGUAUGUAAACAA